GAUGAACGCUAGCGGCAGGCUUAAUACAUGCAAGUCGUGGGGCAGCAUGAGUAGCAAUACUUGAUGGCGACCGGCAAACGGGUGAGGAACACGUACACAACCUUCCUUCAAGCGGGGAAUAGCCCAGAGAAAUUUGGAUUAAUACCCCAUAAUAUAUUUGAUAAGGCAUCUUAUUAAUAUUAAAGCUUCGGCACUUGAUGAUGGGUGUGCGGCUGAUUAGAUAGUUGGCGGGUAACGGCCCACCAAGUCUAUGAUCAGUAGCUGAUGUGAGAGCAUGAUCAGCCACACGGGCACUGAGACACGGGCCCGACUCCUACGGGAGGCAGCAGUAAGGAAUAUUGGACAAUGGACGAAAGUCUGAUCCAGCCAUGCCGCGUGAAGGAUUAAGGGUCCC
rnacentral:rRNA from 1 species